rnacentral:rRNA from 1 species
CGAGUCGGGGGAAGUAUUGGACGAAUGGGCGCAAGCCUGAUCCAGCAAUGCCGCGUGUGUGAAGAAGGGCCGUUACGGGUUGUUAAAACUACGUUUUAUCAGGAGCGAAAUACUACCGGUUAAGUAACCGGUGGGCUGGACGGUACCUGAGGAAUAAGCACCGGCUAACUUCGUGCCAGCCGCCGCGGUAAUUC